CCUGGUGGCACGUUGCGGGGGAUGCAGAGGAGCCCGCGCCGGGCAGCGACGCAGCUCCCAGGCAGCCCGGUCCCGGCACAGGGCUCCGGCGCGAGGCUGAGUGGCGCUGGGAGCCUCAGCCGCCGAUCCCGUCUGUCGCCGGAGAGCUGGGUUCCUCAUCGCUGGCGUUAGCUCGUGACGAGGAAGGGACCUGCCCGUGUGGGACUGGCCGCGCAGCAGCGUGUCCCAGGCCAGCCCCGGGACAGGCCAGGACAAACUCCAUGGCAAGAUACCAGCUAUAAACGUCUUUCUGGGUGUGUGGAUUGCGAAUAAAGACCUAUAUCGCUUUAGUGGUAUUACAGGACCUGAACAUUGCCACUUCGGUGGUUUUGUCAUAAGCAUGAAAAUGGUUGAGACUUUUCCUAAAGCUCCGCU